AAGUCGAAACAAGGUUUCCGUAGGUGAUCCUGCGGAAGGAUCAUUAACACGUAUCCCCGUGAACCUUCAUCCUGCUCUUGUAACCCGCGUAGUUCGCAAUCUCUGAUAAAUCAUAGCCCGGAAGGUUGUAGUGAUUGAGAGACCUCUGGCUACGUGCAAACAUUGGAACAGUUACAAUCGAGCGGUAGUUCUAUAGGCAACAUUGGGUAACAAAACCGAACAAAUGUUAACAAUAGAUAUCUUGGUUCUC
rnacentral:misc_RNA from 1 species